CAGAUUUUAGUUUAUUUAAAAUUUUAACUUUGGGUGUUAAAGAUUUAGUCUGA
rnacentral:tRNA from 1 species